AAUAGAUACCCCGGUAGUCCACGCCGUAAACGAUGAGUGCUAAGUGUUAGAGGGUUUCCGCCCUUUAGUGCUGCAGCUAACGCAUUAAGCACUCCGCCUGGGGAGUACGGUCGCAAGACUGAAACUCAAAGGAAUUGACGGGGGCCCGCACAAGCGGUGGAGCAUGUGGUUUAAUUCGAAGCAACGCGAAGAACCUUACCAGGUCUUGACAUCCCACUGACCGGUAUAGAGAUAUACCUUUCCCUUCGGGGACAGUGGUGACAGGUGGUGCAUGGUUGUCGUCAACUCGUGUCGUGAGAUGUUGGGUUAAGUCCCGCAACGAGCGCAACCCUUGAUCCUAGUUGCCAGCAUUUAGUUGGGCACUCUAAGGUGACUGCCGGUGACAAACCGGAGGAAGGUGGGGAUGACGUCAAAUCAUCAUGCCCCUUAUGACCUGGGCUACACACGUGCUACAAUGGAUGGUACAAAGGGCUGCAAGACUGCGAAGUCAAGCCAAUCCCAUAAAACCAUUCUCAGUUCGGAUUGCAGGCUG
rnacentral:rRNA from 1 species